rnacentral:rRNA from 1 species
AUAAUUUAAAACCUAGGGCGCUACCAUGCAGUCGAACGGUAACAGGAAGCAGCUUGCUGCUUCGCUGACGAGUGGCGGACGGGUGAGUAAUGUCUGGGAAACUGCCUGAUGGAGGGGGAUAACUACUGGAAACGGUAGCUAAUACCGCAUAACGUCGCAAGACCAAAGAGGGGGACCUUCGGGCCUCUUGCCAUCAGAUGUGCCCAGAUGGGAUUAGCUAGUAGGUGGGGUAACGGCUCACCUAGGCGACGAUCCCUAGCUGGUCUGAGAGGAUGACCAGCCACACUGGAACUGAGACACGGUCCAGACUCCUACGGGAGGCAGCAGUGGGGAAUAUUGCACAAUGGGCGCAAGCCUGAUGCAGCCAUGCCGCGUGUAUGAAGAAGGCCUUCGGGUUGUAAAGUACUUUCAGCGGGGAGGAAGGCGAUGCGGUUAAUAACCGCGUCGAUUGACGUUACCCGCAGAAGAAGCACCGGCUAACUCCGUGCCAGCAGCCGCGGUAAUACGGAGGGUGCAAGCGUUAAUCGGAAUUACUGGGCGUAAAGCGCACGCAGGCGGUCUGUCUAUGUCGGAUGUGAAAUCCCCGGGCUCAACCUGGGAACUGCAUCCGAAAACUGGCAGGCUUGAGUCUCGUAGAGGGGGGUAGAAUUCCAGGUGUAGCGGUGAAAUGCGUAGAGAUCUGGAGGAAUUCCAGUCCGGCGAAGGCGGCCCCCUGGACGAAGACUGACGCUCAGGUGCGAAAGCGUGGGGAGCAAACAAGGAUUAGAUACCCUGGGUAGUUCCACGCCGUAACGAUGUCGACUUGGAGGUUGGUGCCCCUUGAGGCGUGGCUUCCCGGAGCUAACGUGUUAAGUCAACCGCGCAGUGAGGAAGUACGCCGCAAAGGUUAAAACUCAACUGAAUUGAACUGGGGCUGCGCCACAACCGUGGAGCAUUGUGGUUUAAAUUUCGAUGCUAC